CAAAAACCACACUAAAAAGUUAAUAUAUAAAGAAACUAAUAGAACAAAAAAGCUUGAAGUAUGGGGCGGGGAUAUGGAAGACCAAAAGAAAAUGUUAAAAACAAGAAAUAUUUGAAAGGAAACACCUUUAUCAGGAGAAAUUAAAUAUUACACUCCCAUUUUUCCUCUUUCUAAUAAUGGUAUGGAUCAACAAAUGAAGUUUGAAAUUUUUUUGUUUUUUUUGGUACCGGGGAUCGAACUUGGGACCUUGCGCUUACGAGGCAGGUGGUGGAACCGUUGAGCUAAAUCCCCAGGCCAUGAAGUUUGAACUUUUUAAGAUGACUAAAUAUAUUUUGUUUUUUAAGUGCACAACUGAUCUUUCUAUACUGUAAUUUUCUUUGAUGUGGCUGGAAAAUGGCCAGACUGCUAACUUUGUGCCUUUAAAAUGCAUUCUGCUUUGACAGUGGCAGACUUUUUGGUGCUGGAGAAGAUUUACUAGCAGUCAUUUAUGUGCUUUUCAGGAAGUAUCUUUCUACUUAGGCCUUGAGAGAUUCAAAGUAGCAUGACUUAGGCUUGGACCAAAUAUAAGAUCUUUUACAUUGUGAAGUAUAUUGAAUAAAAGGAUUGAAAAAUAUCGUAGUGGAAAUUUUGAUCGAUUUGUAAUUCUUUAACAUAUGUUUAAAGGUAUACAGACUUUUUAAAAAUCCUGAAAUUUUUUAGUACUUUUCCUUGUAUACAAAACAUUUUCUAAUUUAAAAAAUCACUAGGACUAUUGCCUUAGAAAGUAUUAAAAGGUACAGUUACCCUUACAUGAUGUGUAUGAGAUUUAAUAUUGAUGCUGAAAGAAAUGAAAACUCUGAUUCCAGAAUAAAUUGAAUUGGCUUUCAUUUGAGAGUCUUUACCUGAUUCCCAAUAGAAACUACUUAAAAAGGUUGAAAAUACUUCUUUAGAAUAGCUUUCUGCUACUACAUACAGCUCUGACACAAGUUGGGUCAGAUCUGUAGUAUUUCUGAGAGGGAGCUUACAAGACAUGUGAAAUCACUAAGAAAAUAAAAUCAAAUCUGAAUAUUUUAGCAGUAUGACUAAGCCAAGUGAAGACUCUUUGGCCAACAGUAGAGUUCUAUGCCAAUAAUUUCAUGUGGGGUCUAGGAACCAGUAGCUUGAUAUAAAAUCACCUGGUAUCAAUUCUGUCUAUGAAUCUUUCCAUCUCUUUAAAAUAGGGUGAGUCUUUUCUUCAUUUGCUUUCUAGUAAUCGUGACUUGCUAUAAGUAGGAAAUUAACAUCCUUGAAGUCACAGUCUAAGGGGAAUAUGGACGAACAGAGUUACUUUAUAGCAGACACUAAAUCUGAAAGUUCAGCAAUGCUGUUAUGAUUUUUUUUUGUAAAGUAAGGGGAGAGCAAGUUUGGGUAAACAUUGGCUGUUAUAAACCAAAAUGUCAUUAAUAGGAAUUAUAGUAAAAAUAUCCCCAAAUUUAGGGAGACCUCCAAGGUCAGACAGCUUAUCUCUCUCUCAGGACCCCUCUUACUACAAACAGCCUCUACUCAAAGAGUCCCAGGGAUAGCAAGCAUUUAUUCCAUAAUACCGCCCCCCUCCCCCCAGCAGUCUUGUAAAGAAAAAAAAUUUUUCUUUUGGUCUAAAUUGUGAAAAAAUUCAAAAACAUUUGGUAGAAAUUAAACUCUGUCAACAGUGUUUAUGCUAAGAAUAGGACAGUUUCUUAAGACCAUAUUAUUUUAAGUUUGGUGGUUGCUUUAAAUAUUUAUUUGAAUUUAAGAUUGGUUAAAUGGUAACAUAAAGCAAUUUAAUUGUUGGUUUUUAUUAGUGCCUUUUUUCUCUGUAUGCCUUUUAUUUUAUAUUACUAAUUCAGAUUACCCACCAAAAUGAGGAUUUUUUUUUUUUCCCCAAAUCAGUAGGCUUCAAGAGUUUAGACUGUGUAUUGGCCUUCAAAUGUUUCUUAAUGCCUACUUCCUCCUCCUGCCCUUUUCUUUUACCUCUUUUUUGUUUUUUUUUUUAAUGUUAGGAAAGAAACAUUAGUGUUUGUCUGAGAUACUGCAAUCUCCGCUAGUCUUAAAUAAGCAUAGAGUUAUUCAAAGUAGUAAAUUGUUUUCUAGGUUGAUUACUUGAUUUUCAAUCACAUUGGCAUCCUCCAGGUUCUUUGUAUGUCAUGGUUCAGUUACAAUUUUCAUAGCAGAGCUAGAGUAGUUGUUUUUGCCUAAAGAGGUUGUUUAAAACGGUUUACCAGUGCUAAGCCAGUGAAUGAGAUGUGAGGCAAUGAGCAAAAAAUACAGAGACAGUAAAUUCUAAUCCUUAGGGUUUAACAUUUUGACAUAUACUCUAGCUUACUUUUCUGUGAAGUGUGUGUGUGUAUGUGUGUGUGUGUGUGUGUGUGUGUGUGUGUGUGUGUGUGGUGUUUGGAGUUGGGUGAGAGGAAAGGGAAUGAAGCAAGGAGAGGGAGGGAGGAAGAAAGGAAGAAGUAUGAAUGUUCAGUUAGAUCAGUCUCUGUUCUGAGAGGAGCAACACAAAAAUGUAUGACCUACUGACCAUGAAUGAAAAUAAUCAUCCUCCAGUAGGAAUGCCAGUACAUUUUUCCCAAGUAGCUAGUAUAAAUGAUUUUUAAUAGAGGUAUUUAUUGUAAAUUUCCAAGCUCUUUGUUGCUAAAAGUAGACUAAAAUUUAGUUUGUGUAUGUGUAUAAUAAUGAGCUUAUAUAUAAUUCUUCAAUAGAAAGUAAUUGAUGUCACAUAGUUCUUUAUGAACUCUUUGGAAUAGAAGUUCUGCCAGACAUUAUCUAAACAAGCUUUCUUAGCUUACCGAGUAUCCUAAAGGAAAUUCUCUUAUACCUCUUUUUGGUUGGCUAGGGAAAUGUGUGCUGUGAAAUCACUGUUCCUACUUCAUUGCUUUGACUUCUUCCAUGGCCUGAAUAGGAUGCCAUAAUAGGUGUGGGAAAUAUCAGGGCCACCCAUCUCUCUCUCUUUUCACUAUUGGGAGGUGUAGAUUCUAAUAAGCUCUCAGGGGAGCCUAGGGAUUCUUUAUACUUGGUUGAAAUGACAAUGGUCAGGGUUGACUUUCAUGGAGGUGAGGGAGGAGUCAUAGCUAUAGUAAAGAAUAAAUUGUACCUGUUGCCUGUAUACAGUGUCAUAUAAUUCUUCAUGUUUUUCGUAAUUGUGCAUUUUAAUCCACAGUCAUAUGGUAUUUUUGUUAGUAACAAAGGCUGUCAGUGAAUACUGUUAUCCUCUCUGCUUGAUGACUUAUUUGUAUCACAAUCUGUAUUAUCAGAAUCACUGUAAACCAAAGCUUUUAUAUUUCCUGCACACAUAGCCAAAAUGAUUAGUCCUGUUACAUCUGCCCACUUGUAAGCUAAUAGCAUAAAAAUGGUAAAGCAGGUACUAGUAGAAUGUGAUCCCAGUCUAUCCUUUGAGGAAAGGGACAGGUGCUCAGUGUUUGCAUUUAGACAUGCAGAAUUUACUUCACUUAUAAAGGAACUAUAUAGAUACUACAUACCUAAUUAACUUGUACUUGUGCCAAUCUUAUUGUCACUUGACCAUAGAUGCAUGUAGAUGUGUUAAUGUCUGAUGCUCAGGUUGGUGGCAUAUUUUCUCCCUAGUGUCUUAACAUGUAUGAGCUUGUGUUUGACUUGAGAGGCAUUUCACCAAAGCUGUGAAGAAAAGGAGGUUAUGGACUGACAUCUGCUUUGUGCUACAGACACUUUGGAACACAGGAAAGCACCUAUUUUUAGCAUAUGUGCAGAAUUUGUCCCCAAAUAAGGAUUUCUAAAUCUCUUAAUGCCAGUUGAGAAGAGUAAAGUUUAUGACUAUCCUGAAAAGCACUUUUCUGUUCAAUUAUUUAUAUUUUUUAGAACUUCUUUUUAAAAACCAUAUGUAACUAGUGAUGAGUUUAGCAUUAACAUUACUUGGAUGGGAGAGAUGAGUAACAAAACUGCGUCUUAAACUCUAUCAGAUAUUUAGAAUCCAGAAUGGAUUUGACAUAUUCUCAUUUUUCCAAAGAAUUUUUUCCACCUGGAAAUAAGAGAGGACUAGGGGAAGCAUUUGUAAAAAAAUGGGUAAAAGAGGAUCAGCCCCUUGCAAUACACAAUUUUCAAUUAAUAGUACAGUGUCUAGGUACAAGAAUACUUCUUUAAACACAAACUAUUAUUUUAAUACAAUCUUAGUAAAAGGUUUACAUAUUUUCUAUUGCUGUUGGUUUUUAAAUUUGCUAUCCUGCAUUCUGAAAUAUUAUAAAAGUUAAUAUGAAAAAUACUUUUAAUGUCUACCAUCUCUUACAUUUCACACAGUUCUUUUUAUUUAUUGUAAAUAAAAGUAAAUGGAUAAAUUUGAAAAUAAACUUUUAAUUAUUGCAAACUAUGAUUAUCAAUUUGUAAACUUACCUUUGACUUAAUGUACAUUUUUAAAUGUAGCCACUAAAUUCUCUAUAUUUAACCUAUUGGUUUCUCUCAGUAAACGUUUUUAAUCUCAUUUGAGUGCUGGGCAAUUUAUAAUUAUCUACAAAGGUUUUUUUGUUUCCUAACAAGUUUGACUUUUUUGCACAUUUUUGAUAAUGUUUAAUUUGUACACUGAUAUAUUACUCUGACCAAUAAUUGUUGAGUGUAUGAGUAUCAUGAAUGCGUGCAUCAAACUACUGUCUGUGUCUCUUGUUUUAACUUCUUUCAAGAUGUACAUCUUUCAAGAUGUAGCUAUCAGUUAAUAACUGCUAUGACUGACUUAAGUGGACCUUCUUGCUUUUACCAAGCAUACUUAUCUAUGGUUCUAUCUUUGUUGAAGAACUCAGGAGUUCAACAUUACUUUCCAAUUUUAUAAUAUAGUCUAAAAUCCAUUACUAAGCUGAAAGUAUGCUUUGUAACUCUAUGUAUCAGGGGAUGUGUGUUUGUGUGAAGAUGUCUUUUUCUGUUUGUAGGCACAUGAAUAUAUCCCAGUAAAUUCUUAUUUUCAUUUUAUUUCUACAUUUUUAUGAACUUGUUUUAUAAGGGUAUUAUUUAGUUAGGAUAAAUAUAUAUAAAAGCUUUCUGAGAGAUUACUAUAUGAAUAUAUUUUCAGCUGGCUGAUCAAAAAUAUUUUUUUAAUUUUGUUUUUAAUCAUUUAAGAUGUAUUUGUAUUUCCAGAAUUGGACACAAGUUGUACUUAGAACUCAGUUAAAAUACUCCUGAAAGGAAAAUCAUGGAAUUCUCUUUUGACAAUUCUGUGAAAUGCAAAUUAGAAAAAAAGGCUUUAAGAAAUAGCAAAAACACACUGUUCACUAACAUGGACCUUUGAAUUGUCAGAGCUGUGGAAAAAAAAGUGAGAAACUAAAUUGUUUUAAUUCAAGAUUUUUGUAUUUCCAGUUGCUAUAGGCUUGUCCUACUGUUGUUUUUAAAUUUGCCUUUAUUUUCCCAAAAGAUUUCAGCUUUUUUUAGUUUUUCCUUACUGAGCAAGGUCAGACUGGGCUUAUAAAACAAUACAUUGGCAUAUAUGAUGCUUUGUAAUUGACUAUAAAUUGGUUUAGAAAUGUCCACACCCCAUUGUUGUGUUGGUUAUACUGUACUGUGUGUUUUUAGGAACUGGCAGAAAAAGAAUUGGAAAUUAGGUUUCCAAUCUGACAGUGUUACUGUAUUUAAAGAAAACCUUGUUUUUAAUUUCAGGUACCACGUAAAAUUACUUGUGUUAGGAAUAAAGUCCACUGUUGAAGUUGAAUGUCAUUUGUUAAAAGGAACCAGUGUGUUUAGAACCUAUCAGAAGCCAGAUAUAGUGUGGUAUGUGCCACAUUUCAUGCACAUUUGAGUUUGUGCUAUUCAUUUAAAAUAUGCUUGUAAAAAUGUAUAAAAUUCCUGAAUUUUAUUUCUAUGUACUUUUUUUUGCUGUUAAAUAGCUUUUUAAAAAAUUAAUAUAAAAAGAAACCAUGUUUAUAUUUUGUUAGUGAUCAAUGAUUUUGUUUAUAUGGAAAUUUGUAUAUUGUUGGCACUCAUCUUUUGUUUAGAUUUAUCAUGCAUGAAGGCUUGCAAUAAUUAGCACAAUGAAAAUUGCUUUUUCUUAUAUGUUCAUUUUUUUGUUUUUUUGAAAGAUUGUGGUGCAAAGGCUUACUUUAAGUAACCUUCUGGACUAUGGAACGAAUAUAAGUGAAUGGCACUUUGAGUGUUAAUAAAGCUGAUAUUUAUUU
rnacentral:lncRNA from 1 species